GAGGGUACAGCUCAAUGGUAGUGCACUUGCCUAGCAUGCAAUAAGACCCAGGUUCGAUUCCCAGUUCUCCCU
rnacentral:tRNA from 1 species